rnacentral:rRNA from 1 species
UACGUAGGGGGCAAGCGUUGUCCGGAUUUAUUGGGCGUAAAGAGCGUGUAGGCGGCCAUACAGGUCAGCUGUGAAAACUCGAGGCUCAACCUCGAGACGUCGGUUGAAACCGUAUGGCUAGAGUCCGGAAGAGGAGUGUGGAAUUCCUGGUGUAGCGGUGAAAUGCGCAGAUAUCAGGAGGAACACCAAUGGCGAAGGCAGCACUCUGGGACGUGACUGACGCUGAGACGCGAAAGCGUGGGGAGCAAACAGG